rnacentral:rRNA from 1 species
UACAGAGGGUGCAAGCGUUGUUCGGAAUUAUUGGGCGUAAAGCGCGUGUAGGCGGCCUUGCAAGUCGGGUGUGAAAGCCCUCAGCUCAACUGAGGAAGCGCGCCCGAAACUGCAGAGCUUGAGUACCGGAGAGGAUGGCGGAAUUCCCCAAGUAGAGGUGAAAUUCGUAGAUAUGGGGAGGAACACCGGUGGCGAAGGCGGCAUCCUGGACCGAUAUUGACGCUGAUGCGCGAAAGCCAGGGGAGCAAACGGG